rnacentral:rRNA from 1 species
AAUGAACGUUGGCGGCGUGGAUUAGGCAUGCAAGUUGAGCGCGAACCCCGCAAGGGGUGAAAGCGGCGAAAGGGAGAGUAACGCGUGGGUAUUUACCCUCGGGACUGGGAUAGCUGCGGGAAACUGCAGGUAAUACCAGAUGACGUCCCCGGACCAAAGGUGUGAUUCCGCCUGAGGAUAAGCCCGCGUCCUAUUAGCUAGUUGGUGAGGUAAUGGCUCACCAAGGCAAUGAUGGGUACUGGGUGUGAGAGCACGACCCAGCUCACUGGGACUGAGACACUGCCCAGACGCCGACGGGUGGCUGCAGUCGAGAAUCUUCGGCAAUGGGCGCAAGCCUGACCGAGCGACGCCGCGUGUGGGAUGAAGGCCUUCGGGUUGUAAACCGCUGUCAGAGGGGAGGAAUGGGCGGAGGGUAAUCUCUUCGUUUUGACCUAUCCUCAGAGGAAGUACGGGCUAAGUUCGUGCCAGCCGCCGCAGUAA